rnacentral:lncRNA from 1 species
UAUCAACUCAUUCAUUGGUCUUUGCAGAAUGCCCUCACAACAUACAAUUCUCAUGUUUUUACAAGUUCAACUGUAAUAUAAAAGAAAAGUCAAUACUGAAUGAUAAUUGAUAACAAAUAACAUUCCACAACUAAGCUUUAUCUUUGAUAAGAACGAGUUAGACUUGUAUCCACAAAACUCAUUCUCCUUGGAAAACUUCAAUGCCGAUGGAUAACUGAGUCAUCACAAUACAAUCACAGUUCCACCUUGUUCCCUAUGAUCUGCAAUAAAAUACAUACAUACAUAUCCUACAACAACAUUAAGAUCUAAAUUGGUUUAGAAUUGAAAAAGAUAAUCAUUUAAUGGGAAAAGCUACAACUACAAGUUGAGUUAUAAUUGCUUUUCAAAUAAAACAUUUUAAGCAAAAACACAAGUACUUGUUUUUAUAUAAAAAACAUUAUUGAAAAAAACCCAGAUCUAGAAAAGUGAAAAUCACAAUAAACGAUCAUAAAAAUAGCAUCUUUAAAAUAAGCAAAUAUUAUCCCAAAAAAAUAAUUCAGAUGAGGUUAACACCAUGUUCGCUAGAUGAUGUAUGGAACGAGGGAGAGAAAAGUGUAAUAACAAAAACCCAUUUUCCCAUCUCUCGCUCCAAACAUCUCUACCAAACAAUGCACUAAGAUAGCAUCAAUUCAUUGAAAUGGGUCUUCGUUGAGGCUCAGAUUUAUCAUUAAAAAUGGAAGAUUUCAUCAAAAAGCAACACCGCCAUGGAUAGCUGCAACUAAACGUUGCCACGCCACCGGCGAUAACUGCUUAACGACGACGCACCCAUUAAUUCCCACACUCCAAAACCAUCGUCAUAGCCUCUUAAUCGAUAGAGAAAGAGAGAUCGAAAGAGUAACAAAAAGAAAGUAAAUGAAAAAGGAGUGAUCUUCAUAGAACAAAUGAACAAUAUCCAUGAAAACAUAGCCUACGAGAUCGAGAGAAAGAGAGAGAUAGUGAGUGCAUACAUAUAUAUAUAUAUUUAUGAGAGAUUAGGGUUUAUUUGGGAACAUCAAUGAAGGUAGCAAUAGUAGCAGCUUCUUUCUCAAAAGGAGUGUGGAAACAAAAAAACCCUAAACUCUGCUUCUAAUUUUCUGUCCCUUGAAUAUAAAUAAGCUAAGGAUGAAUGGUUUUUUAGUCAUUGUCAAAUGUUG